UACGGAAGGCAGCAGUGGGGAAUAUUGCACAAUGGGCGCAAGCCUGAUGCAGCCAUGCCGCGUGUAUGAAGAAGGCCUUCGGGUUGUAAAGUACUUUCAGUCGUGAGGAAGGUGUUAAGGUUAAUAACCUUAGCAAUUGACGUUAGCGACAGAAGAAGCACCGGCUAACUCCGUGCCAGCAGCCGCGGUAAUACGGAGGGUGCGAGCGUUAAUCGGAAUUACUGGGCGUAAAGGGCACGCAGGCGGUUAAUAAGUUGGAUGUGAAAUCCCGGGCUUAACCUGGGAAUGGCAUUCAAGACUGGUUAGCUAGAGUCUUGUAGAGGGGGUAGAAUUCCAUGUGUAGCGGUGAAAUGCGUAGAGAUGUGGAGGAAUACCGGUGGCGAAGGCGGCCCCUGGGACAAAGACUGACGCUCAUGUGCGAAAGCGUGGGGAGCGAAACAGGAUUAGAUACC
rnacentral:rRNA from 1 species